GUCGAUUCCGGAGAGGGAGCCUGAGAAACGGCUACCACAUCCAAGGAAGGCAGCAGGCGCGCAAAUUACCCAAUCCCGACACGGGGAGGUAGUGACAAAAAAUAACAAUACAGGGUCUUUACGGGUCUUGUAAUUGGAAUGAGUACAACUUAAAUCCCUUAACGAGGAACAAUUGGAGGGCAAGUCUGGUGCCAGCAGCCGCGGUAAUUCCAGCUCCAAUAGCGUAUAUUAAAGUUGUUGCAGUUAAAAAGCUCGUAGUUGAAUUUUAGCCUUGGCUGGGUGGUCCGGCCAUUUCGGUCGGUACUGCUUAGGCUGGGGUUCACUUUCUGGUGAGCCAGCAUGCUCUUAAUUGGGUGUGUUGGGGAACCAGGACUUUUACUUUGAAAAAAUUAGAGUGUUCAAAGCAGGCAUCCGCUUGAAUACAUUAGCAUGGAAUAAUAGAAUAGGACUUUGGUUCUAUUUUGUUGGUUUCUAGGACCGAAGUAAUGAUUAAUAGGGAUAGUUGGGGGCAUUAGUAUUUAAUUGUCAGAGGUGAAAUUCUUGGAUUUAUGAAAGACUAACUUCUGCGAAAGCAUUUGCCAAGGAUGUUUUCAUUAAUCAAGAACGAAAGUCAGGGGAUCGAAGACGAUCAGAUACCGUCGUAGUCUUGACCAUAAACUAUGCCGACUAGGGAUCGGACGAUGUUAUUUACUGAC
rnacentral:rRNA from 1 species